GUCGAGCGGUAACAGGAGGUAGCUUGCUACUUUGCUGACGAGCGGCGGACGGGUGAGUAAUGCCUAGGAAUCUGCCUAGUAGUGGGGGAUAACGUUCGGAAACGGACGCUAAUACCGCAUACGUCCUACGGGAGAAAGUGGGGGACCUUCGGGCCUCACGCUAUUAGAUGAGCCUAGGUCGGAUUAGCUAGUUGGUGAGGUAAUGGCUCACCAAGGCGACGAUCCGUAACUGGUCUGAGAGGAUGAUCAGUCACACUGGAACUGAGACACGGUCCAGACUCCUACGGGAGGCAGCAGUGGGGAAUAUUGGACAAUGGGCGAAAGCCUGAUCCAGCCAUGCCGCGUGUGUGAAGAAGGUCUUCGGAUUGUAAAGCACUUUAAGUUGGGAGGAAGGGCAGUAACUUAAUACGUUGCUGUUUUGACGUUACCGACAGAAUAAGCACCGGCUAACUCUGUGCCAGCAGCCGCGGUAAUACAGAGGGUGCAAGCGUUAAUCGGAAUUACUGGGCGUAAAGCGCGCGUAGGCGGUUUGUUAAGUUGGAUGUGAAAGCCCCGGGCUCAACCUGGGAACUGCAUCCAAAACUGGCAAGCUAGAGUACAGUAGAGGGUGGUGGAAUUUCCUGUGUAGCGGUGAAAUGCGUA
rnacentral:rRNA from 1 species